rnacentral:misc_RNA from 1 species
AACGCACAUUGCGCCCGCCAGUAUUCUGGCGGGCAUGCCUGUUCGAGCGUCAUUUCAACCCUCAAGCCCUCGGGUUUGGUGUUGGGGAUCGGCGAGCUUAUGCAAGCCGGCCCCGAAAUCUAGUGGCGGUCUCGCUGCAGCUUCCAUUGCGUAGUAGAAACACCUCGCAACUGGAAAGCGGCGCGGCCAAGCCGUUAAACCCCCAACUUCUGAAUGUUGACCUCGGAUCAGGUAGGAAUACCCGCUGAACUUAA